rnacentral:rRNA from 1 species
GACGUAGGGGGCCAGCGUUGCUCGGAAUUACUGGGUGUAAAGGGUUCGUAGGCGGUGUGGCAAGUCGGGAGUGAAAUCUCUGGGACUCAACCCAGAGUCUGCUUCCGAAACUGCUGUGCUUGAGUGUGGGAGAGGCGCGUGGAAUUGCAGGUGUAGCGGUGAAAUGCGUAGAUAUCUGCAGGAACACCCGUGGCGAAAGCGGCGCGCUGGACCACUACUGACGCUGAGGAACGAAAGCUAGGGGAGCAAACAGG